GGUUAAGCGACUAAGCGUACACGGUGGAUGCCCUGGCAGUCAGAGGCGAUGAAGGACGUGCUAAUCUGCGAAAAGCGUCGGUAAGGUGAUAUGAACCGUUAUAGCCGGCGAUGUCCGAAUGGGGAAACCCAGUGCAAUUCGUUGCACUAUCGUUAACUGAAUACAUAGGUUAACGAGGCGAACCGGGGGAACUGAAACAUCUAAGUACCCCGAGGAAAAGAAAUCAACCGAGAUUCCCCCAGUAGCGGCGAGCGAACGGGGAGCAGCCCAGAGUCUGAAUCAGCUUGUGUGUUAGUGGAACGGUCUGGAAAGUCCGACGGUACAGGGUGAUAGUCCCGUACACCAAAAUGCACAGGCUGUGAACUCGAAGAGUAGGGCGGGACACGUGGUAUCCUGUCUGAAUAUGGGGGGACCAUCCUCCAAGGCUAAAUACUCCUGACUGACCGAUAGUGAACCAGUACCGUGAGGGAAAGGCGAAAAGAACCCCGGCGAGGGGAGUGAAAAAGAACCUGAAACCGUGUACGUACAAGCAGUGGGAGCACCUUCGGGUGUGACUGCGUACCUUUUGUAUAAUGGGUCAGCGACUUAUAUUCUGUAGCAAGGUUAACCGUAUAGGGGAGCCGCAGGGAAACCGAGUCUUAACUGGGCGUUAAGUUGCAGGGUAUAGACCCGAAACCCGGUGAUCUAGCCAUGGGCAGGUUGAAGGUUGGGUAACACUAACUGGAGGACCGAACCGACUAAUGUUGAAAAAUUAGCGGAUGACUUGUGGCUGGGGGUGAAAGGCCAAUCAAACCGGGAGAUAGCUGGUUCUCCCCGAAAGCUAUUUAGGUAGCGCCUCGUGAACUCAUCUUCGGGGGUAGAGCACUGUUUCGGCUAGGGGGUCAUCCCGACUUACCAACCCGAUGCAAACUACGAAUACCGAAGAAUGUUAUCACGGGAGACACACGGCGGGUGCUAACGUCCGUCGUGAAGAGGGAAACAACCCAGACCGCCAGCUAAGGUCCCAAAGUCAUGGUUAAGUGGGAAACGAUGUGGGAAGGCACAGACAGCCAGGAUGUUGGCUUAGAAGCAGCCAUCAUUUAAAGAAAGCGUAAUAGCUCACUGGUCGAGUCGGCCUGCGCGGAAGAUGUAACGGGGCUAAACCAUGCACCGAAGCUGCGGCAGCGACACUAUGUGUUGUUGGGUAGGGGAGCGUUCUGUAAGCCUGCGAAGGUGACCUGUGAGGGUUGCUGGAGGUAUCAGAAGUGCGAAUGCUGACAUAAGUAACGAUAAAGCGGGUGAAAAGCCCGCUCGCCGGAAGACCAAGGGUUCCUGUCCAACGUUAAUCGGGGCAGGGUGAGUCGACCCCUAAGGCGAGGCCGAAAGGCGUAGUCGAUGGGAAACAGGUUAAUAUUCCUGUACUUGGUGUUACUGCGAAGGGGGGACGGAGAAGGCUAUGUUAGCCGGGCGACGGUUGUCCCGGUUUAAGCAUGUAGGCUGGUUAUCCAGGCAAAUCCGGAUAAUCAAGGCUGAGGUGUGAUGACGAGGCACUACGGUGCUGAAGUAACAAAUGCCCUGCUUCCAGGAAAAGCCUCUAAGCAUCAGGUAACAUCAAAUCGUACCCCAAACCGACACAGGUGGUCAGGUAGAGAAUACCAAGGCGCUUGAGAGAACUCGGGUGAAGGAACUAGGCAAAAUGGUGCCGUAACUUCGGGAGAAGGCACGCUGGUGUGUAGGUGAAGUCCCUGCGGAUGGAGCUGAGACCAGUCGAAGAUACCAGCUGGCUGCAACUGUUUAUUAAAAACACAGCACUGUGCAAACACGAAAGUGGACGUAUACGGUGUGACGCCUGCCCGGUGCCGGAAGGUUAAUUGAUGGGGUUAUCCGUAAGGAGAAGCUCUUGAUCGAAGCCCCGGUAAACGGCGGCCGUAACUAUAACGGUCCUAAGGUAGCGAAAUUCCUUGUCGGGUAAGUUCCGACCUGCACGAAUGGCGUAAUGAUGGCCAGGCUGUCUCCACCCGAGACUCAGUGAAAUUGAACUCGCUGUGAAGAUGCAGUGUACCCGCGGCAAGACGGAAAGACCCCGUGAACCUUUACUAUAGCUUGACACUGAACAUUGAGCCUUGAUGUGUAGGAUAGGUGGGAGGCUUUGAAGCGUGGACGCCAGUCUGCGUGGAGCCAACCUUGAAAUACCACCCUUUAAUGUUUGAUGUUCUAACGUUGGCCCCUGACCGGGGUUGCGGACAGUGUCUGGUGGGUAGUUUGACUGGGGCGGUCUCCUCCCAAAGCGUAACGGAGGAGCACGAAGGUUAGCUAAUCCUGGUCGGACAUCAGGAGGUUAGUGCAAUGGCAUAAGCUAGCUUGACUGCGAGCGUGACGGCGCGAGCAGGUGCGAAAGCAGGUCAUAGUGAUCCGGUGGUUCUGAAUGGAAGGGCCAUCGCUCAACGGAUAAAAGGUACUCCGGGGAUAACAGGCUGAUACCGCCCAAGAGUUCAUAUCGACGGCGGUGUUUGGCACCUCGAUGUCGGCUCAUCACAUCCUGGGGCUGAAGUAGGUCCCAAGGGUAUGGCUGUUCGCCAUUUAAAGUGGUACGCGAGCUGGGUUUAGAACGUCGUGAGACAGUUCGGUCCCUAUCUGCCGUGGGCGCUGGAGAAUUGAGGGGGGCUGCUCCUAGUACGAGAGGACCGGAGUGGACGCAUCACUGGUGUUCGGGUUGUCAUGCCAAUGGCACUGCCCGGUAGCUAAAUGCGGAAGAGAUAAGUGCUGAAAGCAUCUAAGCACGAAACUUGCCCCGAGAUGAGUUCUCCCUGAGACUUUAAGUCUCCUGAAGGAACGUUGAAGACGACGACGUUGAUAGGCCGGGUGUGUAAGCGCAGCGAUGCGUUGAGCUAACCGGUACUAAUGAACCGUGAGGCUUAACCUU
rnacentral:rRNA from 1 species